UACGAAGGAUGCAAGCGUUAUCCGGAUUUAUUGGGUUUAAAGGGUGCGUAGGCGGACUUAUAAGUCAGUGGUGAAAUCUCGUUGCUUAACAACGAACGUGCCAUUGAUACUGUAGGUCUUGAGUACAGAUGCCGUUGGCGGAAUGUGUCAUGUAGCGGUGAAAUGCAUAGAUAUGACACAGAACACCGACUGCGAAGGCAGCUGACGAAACUGUAACUGACGCUGAGGCACGAAAGCGUGGGGAUCAAACAGG
rnacentral:rRNA from 1 species